GGCGCUGUAGCUCAGCUUGUUAGAGCGCCCGUCUAGUAAACAGGAGGUCAGGGGUCUAAUUCCCAUCAGUGCCU
rnacentral:tRNA from 1 species